UACGGGGGGUGCAAGCGUUGCUCGGAAUCACUGGGCGUAAAGCGUCCGCAGGCGGGUGUGUGUGUCGGAUGUGAAAGCCCAGGGCUCAACCCUGGAACUGCAUUCGAAACUGCACAUCUUGAGUACGGGAGAGGGAGGCAGAAUUCCUGGUGUAGAGGUGAAAUUCGUAGAUAUCAGGAGGAAUACCUGUGGCGAAAGCGGCUUCCUGGUCCGAUACUGACACUCAUGGACGAAAGCGCGGGGAGCAAACAGG
rnacentral:rRNA from 1 species